GUCGAAGGUGGGGCUGAUGACUGGGGUGAAGUCGUAACAAGGUAUCCGUACCGGAAGGUGCGGAUGGAUCACCUCCUAACAGGGAGACAACACAAUGAUUUUGAUGCCUGAGUACUUUUAUUCUUAGGCCGAAAUCCUGUCACCUUAGGUCGAUCGGUACCUCAGCUUUGAAGUCAAGGAUCAGCAGCAAUGUUGAUUGCUUGAUGGAGAUUUUUAGUUCCUAAACUUUGUCUAGGUCACACCCCAAAAGGGAUGAGACUCCUGGGCCAUUAGCUCAGGUGGUUAGAGCGCACCCCUGAUAAGGGUGAGGUCCCUGGUUCAAGUCCAGGAUGGCCCAUUCGGUGUUGGGGGUUUAGCUCAGUUGGUAGAGCGCCUGCUUUGCAAGCAGGAUGUCAGGAGUUCGAGUCUCCUAACCUCCACUGACCGAACUUGAUUCCCAUCUCCAAUUUUUUGGAGUUGAGCUCGAUUGGAGUGUGAUUUAGAUGUGUCCGCUGGAUGACCCCAGCUUCCUGUCAUUCCAGGUUUUAGAUUUUAAGUCUUAAAUUUGGUUGAUAAGAUGCUGGGCUCGGAUCAAAUAAUCAAGCAAUUGAUGAUUUGAUUUGAAGUUCUAGCAGAACCUUGACAACUGCAUAGGUGAAGUCUGGAAAAACAAAGCAUCUUACAGAUGCAUUGUUUUGAAUCUGAUCUUCUGAAAGGGAGAUUGGAUCUAGAACAAUGAAAAUUCUUUUGAGCAAGAGCCGAGACUCUUAAAUGUUCUUUGAUUCGUGUCGAGCGAAUCAGAGUUUGAUCUUGUUUUUAGCAAUAAAAACUUGAGAAUCUGCUUUCAACGGCGGUAAGCGUUUAAGAGGUUAAUUGGUCAAGCUACAAAGGGC
rnacentral:misc_RNA from 1 species